AGAUAGUUCCAGCGACGAAGAGCAAUCUCAAAGCAGCCUCUCACUCGGAGAAGGCUGUAGUUUCUGGCCGGUUGGCUGUUCAAAAAAAUCGGAGGGUGAACUGUUUGAUUCUUUAAAUCUGACUAGUUCGCAAUUGGAGGAUUUAAUAGCUGAAACAGAUUGUCUUUUUGAGAAUAAAAAUCCUGCCUCAGCCAAAGAGUCCCCAGAAACAGAAUACUCGA